ACUGCUGCACGGUGGUGGCGGUAAAAUUACGAGCCUACGGGACAACAAACACAAAGCUAGGAACAACAAUGCGGUUAAGGUUAGUGGUGCAAUGUCGACAGAAACUCAUAAUAAUUUGAGAAAACGUCGCUGCCCAGAAAACAAACAAACAAACAAACAAAACAAAACAACUGACGCUACGCCAAAACUAGCUUUCCGUGUUACUCCAAUCAGUAGCACCUGUGUCAUUCAGCCACGGUGGGAUACUUUCCUCAUGAACCCGUUGAUUCCCCUCAGAGCUGAUUUUGAGAUCAUCAUACCCACAGGGAGUGUCAAGAGAAGAGAGAAAGGUGGAAAGGACACAAGCUGUGCAACGUCUGGUGAUCUGGGUAGAUGACAGGUUCCAUGGAGAAACUGACUGAAAGGAUAAUAAGGCUUGGAGAAGGCCGCCCCCUGCCGCCACUGAGGACAACUACACUAAUACAGACAAGAGCGCCUCAACAGUUACACACUCAAGAGUUGGGGUUUUGCCGUAUGCAACUAGCUACCAUCUCCAACGCUUGUGCAAAACAGAAAAGAAAACUGUUAAGUUAGGAGCCGGACACAAGGAUGAACGGUGUGCCGAGAGCCGGAGAGACCCGGGACGAUGGAAAGAGAAAGGAGGAUCAGAUCACCUCGCCCACAGAGCCUCUCACCUCGACACACUGAGCAGGGGGACUGAAGUAUGCCAAUAUGGCCAGCUUUCAAGCAAUCACCCCUUGAAGCUCUCCCUGUGGUGAAGCUGAGGGGUCCCCCGCAUUGCACUGUGGGAGAUGCCAACCCCAGCCCCAAACCACCCUUCAGAUAUAUUCUGGUAAACUAGUCUAUGCAGCAGAGUGGAUGAGGAAAACAAAAUAUUUAUUGGGGAAGAGGAAGCAGAAAAAAGGUCAAGGAAGAAGUCAUCUUUGAAAGGCGGAGGGAGGAAGUCACAUGAUGAAAAAGAUGGGGACAGGUCUUCGCUCAGGCACGGCUCGGUUUCUGACGGGGUCUCUUCCCAGUGCGCCCUGGGAAGUGCGGUCCUCAGCUCUCCAGACUCAUGAAGGCCACCACCUGCUCCAGCUUGAAGGCCAGCCUCUGUUUCCUGGCUGCAUCAUCCUGCUCCAGUGAACAUACAAUCUGCCAGCAGAACAGUGAGCCUGGAUGGAUGUUGGAAGUCACUGUAACUGCUGUGUAUCCAAGCUGACUACAGCUGCUGAACUUCGCUGAGGAGCAAGCUACAAACCUCUGAGAAACAACUUUCAAGUUUACAGCAGAGUUCGACUAGUUAGUAGCAGUAGCGAUUUCCCUUCCUGAGACACGGAUUUCCAUUACCCUGCUCAUCAGCUUACCUCUCCACCCAGCUCUUGUAGCUGGGGAUGUCCUUGGCAUAAAGCAGCUUGUUGGAUGGUGAGUCCUUCCCAAGGCGGUGUUCUGAGGUGGAGCAGGAGUCCAUGAAGGUCUGGGCCACCACAGA